UAUUUCUGUUUCUUUUAGACGGUUAUUCUAAUAUUUAUUCCUGAGGAGAGAAGUCUCAAAGUAACAAAUUUGUACAUAAUGCUAUUUCCAUUCAAUUCACCAGCAAAUAAUUGCUGGUUAAAUCCAGGAAGCUGCAGUCAAGUAGAUACCUACACCCCCACAAAAGAAACUGAUCUUAGAAUCUGGGAAGUGCUGAUUGUUUAAAACCCAAAGUAAAUGGCUUAUAGAAACUGAGACCAGCUAGGAUCACAGCGCAACACUAUGGAGCUUAGAAAUUUCUGGAAAUACACAUGUUGGCUUUAAUGGGUUUCUAGCUUCAAAAUAGUCUGACCUUAGCUGGUCAAAGUUUUCAUCUUGGAACAAAUUCCCCAC